rnacentral:misc_RNA from 1 species
GAGCGAGGCUUGCCCGCGAAGGGAGCGCUGCGGUUUUCAGAUAGACCGCAUUAUCGUUCUUCGCGGGCAAGCCUCGCUC